CCGGCAUCUGCUUUUCCGUGCCUGGAGCCUUGUCUCUCCGCACUAGCGCUGCACUGGCCCCUUGUCUCUGUGACAGGCGAAGAAAGAUCCCUGGACCGGGAUUAGGAGACGCGGGUUCUAGUUGCCACCUUGCCAACUGCUGGACAUCCUUGGGCAAACCACUUGGGCUCCAUUUUGCCAUUUGUUGAAUGAGAUUCCCCAAAAGCCCCUGACGUGCUGCCGCCGCCCCUUCUCCUCGAGGCAGUCCCCUGCCCUUCCCUUCUGCUGCUUACACUACCCUAUCACCACCCCUCAAUCUCUAUCUUCCUCUGCACGUCCCUUGCCCCUUCUAGUCCGCCACCUCUCUUUAGAUUUCCCGUUUUCAUUUCCACCUCUCCCGCCGAACGCCUCCUCUGCCCACCUUCCAGAGAGGCCUGGGUCUGGUACACGCUUUUCCACUGACCACCUGUGUGAUUCUCAGCAAGGCUCUCGGCCGCCUGCGCCCCACCCUCGUCCCCUUGCAGGGUUGAUCCGGUGAGACAGAAAAGGCUUUGAGAGCUGGUUCUGUGAAGAGUACAUGAAAUUUUGGCUACUUCUUUCAGGACUUAUCAGGUCUUACCAGGUCUGCACAAACCACGACGUCCUGGAAAAACAGCACAUGGUUCCUUCCAAGAAUUUACAUCUUAUUAUUGACUCUUCUAAUCCAUAAAUAAGGCUGGAGUGCACUCUUGGCUCACUGCAACCUCCACCUCCCGGGUUCAAGCGAUUCUCCAGCUGCACCCCAUCCAGCACCAGCUAGGACGUACCAAGGGUCCCAGGAGCCUCAGAACAUCUCCAUCUUCAUAGACGUGUGUUUCAUAGUUCAGGGGCUGCGAAAGGAAAAUAAAUCUUGGGGCCCCCAGAUCGCUAAGCUAAAGGGAAAAGGUCAAGCUGGGAAUUGCUUGGGAGAAACUUGCUUCCCAUUCUAUUCAGUCACCCCUCUGCUCACUGACAUACACGCAUAUCCGAUUGCCUGCUUUGAAGAGGCUACUCAGAAACUCAAAAGAAUGCAACCAUUUGUCUCUUAUCUACCUAUGACCUGGAAGCCCCCUCCCCAUGGAGUUGUCCCACCUUUGCUUCAAGUUGUCCCACCUUUCUGGACUGAACCAAUGUUCAUAUGUAAAUGUGUUGAUUGAUGUCUCAUGUCUCCCUAAAAUGUAUAAAACUAAACUCUGCCCUGACCACCUUGGGCGUAUGUCGUCAGGACCUCCUGAGGCUGUGUCACAGGCGCGUGUCCUCAACCUUGGCAAAAUAAACUUUCUAUAUUAACUAAGACCUGUCUCAGGUAUUCAGGGUUCACGUUUUGGUAACCGUGGAAGGAUUCUGAGUGGAGAUGCCCCUGACCUUUGGCAAAUCUCCUAUCAGUGCUUGGGACCAGCAUGAGCUACCUUUAUGGCUCAAACCAAUAGGACAGCUUGCUGAGGCCUG
rnacentral:lncRNA from 1 species